rnacentral:lncRNA from 1 species
CAAAAUAUUCAAAAUUAUAGCUACCAUCCUCAGUGUUUUAUGCCUGAUAAGACUAAAAAUAUUAAUUAUAAUUAUAAAAGCUAUCUACUCUGUAUUGAGUUUGUUCAAAAUGAGUUAGACCCUUGUUGAGAGAUUUAUCAUGCUCCUAAGAUCAAGACAGUAUUUCAGAAAGAUUCACUCUUCCGAAGUAUUAUUGCAUUAGAGGCAUGGGCUAUGCAAAAAUAGAAAUAUUUCGAGGAAAUAAAAAGGAGCAAGUGCUCGACAACCUCGCAGAAAAAAUGGACAAGUGUCCGGCAGUAGAAUUAGGGGUACCUCGGUAUCCACUUAAAAAAAAUGAUAGCCCAUGGUCCCUCUAAUAAGCAAUAUGCCAGCAAGAGUUGACAAAGAUUUUAAUUUCCAAAGUCUUUGAUCUAAGAGUAUGACAUUUCCCUCCUCGGAUCCCGUUUUGAUCAGGCAAUAAAUGCAAAGUAAGUAUGCUUG